GGGCUGGGCUCAGUGGUAGAGCACCUGCCUUGCACGUGUGAGGUACUGAGUUCGAUCCUCAGCAUGACA
rnacentral:tRNA from 1 species